rnacentral:rRNA from 1 species
UACGACUACAUAUCAGGCAUAUCAAUAAGCGGAGGAAAAGAAACUAACAAGGAUUCCCUUAGUAACGGCGAGUGAAGCGGGAAGAGCUCAAAUUUGAAAUCUUCAAGGUUUUACCUUGACGAAUUGUAGUUUAAAGAAGUGUUUUCUGUUGAAGUUUUGGUAAAAGUUCUUUGGAAUAGGACAUCAUAGAGGGUGAGAAUCCCGUAUUUGACCAUUAUUUUCAGCUGUGUGAUACACUUUCAAAGAGUCGGAUUGUUUGGGAAUGCAGUCCAAAAUGGGUGGUAAAUUUCAUCUAAAGCUAAAUAUUGGCGAGAGACCGAUAGCGAACAAGUACCGUGAGGGAAAGAUGAAAAGAACUUUGAAAAGAGAGUUAAACAGUACGUGAAAUUGUCAAAAGGGAAGCGUUUGACACCAGUGUUGUUUAGUUGAAAAUCAAUUCAAUAGUUUUCUGAUUCUAAGUAGUAUUGACUUCAUCAGCUUGCUGCUUUCUUCUCAGAAAUUAUUGAAUGCACUUUUCAGUUAACAAGUCAACAUCAAUUUCUUUUGUUGUAAAAGGGUAAGAGGAAGGUGGCUUGCGCUUCGGCUCAAGUGUUUAUAGCCUUUUAUCUCUGCAAUCGGAGAGAUUGAGGUCUGCAGCGUAGAUCCUUCGGGGUUAGAUACAUUGGUGCUAAGCUAUAGCCUUGUAUAGACAACUUGUUGACUAUGCUCAGUCAUGUAGCUUACUCGCUGAUGCUAUUUUACCUACGCUUAGGAUGUUGAGUAGCGACAUACGCAC